CAGUCGCCGCGGUAAUACGAAGGGGGCUAGCGUUGUUCGGAAUUACUGGGCGUAAAGCGCACGUAGGCGGAUAUUUAAGUCAGGGGUGAAAUCCCAGAGCUCAACUCUGGAACUGCCUUUGAUACUGGGUAUCUUGAGUAUGGAAGAGGUGAGUGGAAUUCCGAGUGUAGAGGUGAAAUUCGUAGAUAUUCGGAGGAGCACCAGUGGCGAAGGCGGCUCACUGGUCCAUUACUGACGCUGAGGUGCGAAAGCGUGGGGAGCAAACAGGAUUAGAUACCCCCGUAGUCCCUGUCUCUUAUAC
rnacentral:rRNA from 1 species